rnacentral:rRNA from 1 species
CCUGGCUCAGGAUGAACGCUAGCGACAGGCUUAACACAUGCAAGUCGAGGGGCAGCACAGGUAGCAAUACCGGGUGGCGACCGGCGCACGGGUGAGUAACGCGUAUGCAACUUGCCUAUCAGAGGGGGAUAACCCGGCGAAAGUCGGACUAAUACCGCAUGAAGCAGGGAUCCCGCAUGGGAAUAUUUGCUAAAGAUUCAUCGCUGAUAGAUAGGCAUGCGUUCCAUUAGGCAGUUGGCGGGGUAACGGCCCACCAAACCGACGAUGGAUAGGGGUUCUGAGAGGAAGGUCCCCCACAUUGGUACUGAGACACGGACCAAACUCCUACGGGAGGCAGCAGUGAGGAAUAUUGGUCAAUGGCCGAGAGGCUGAACCAGCCAAGUCGCGUGAGGGAUGAAGGUUCUAUGGAUCGUAAACCUCUUUUAUAAGGGAAUAAAGUGCGGGACGUGUCCCGUUUUGUAUGUACCUUAUGAAUAAGGAUCGGCUAACUCCGUGCCAGCAGCCGCGGUAAUACGGAGGAUCCGAGCGUUAUCCGGAUUUAUUGGGUUUAAAGGGUGCGUAGGCGGCCUUUUAAGUCAGCGGUGAAAGUCUGUGGCUCAACCAUAGAAUUGCCGUUGAAACUGGGGGGCUUGAGUAUGUUUGAGGCAGGCGGAAUGCGUGGUGUAGCGGUGAAAUGCAUAGAUAUCACGCAAAACCCCGAUUGCGAAGGCAGCCUGCCAAGCCAUUACUGACGCUGAUGCACGAAAGCGUGGGGAUCAAACAGGAUUAGAUACCCUGGUAGUCCACGCAGUAAACGAUGAUCACUAGCUGUUUGCGAUACACUGUAAGCGGCACAGCGAAAGCGUUAAGUGAUCCACCUGGGGAGUACGCCGGCAACGGUGAAACUCAAAGGAAUUGACGGGGGCCCGCACAAGCGGAGGAACAUGUGGUUUAAUUCGAUGAUACGCGAGGAACCUUACCCGGGUUUGAACGCAUUCGGACCGAGGUGGAAACACCUUUUCUAGCAAUAGCCGUUUGCGAGGUGCUGCAUGGUUGUCGUCAGCUCGUGCCGUGAGGUGUCGGCUUAAGUGCCAUAACGAGCGCAACCCUUGCCACUAGUUACUAACAGGUGAUGCUGAGGACUCUGGUGGGACUGCCAGCGUAAGCUGCGAGGAAGGCGGGGAUGACGUCAAAUCAGCACGGCCCUUACAUCCGGGGCGACACACGUGUUACAAUGGCGUGGACAAAGGGAGGCCACCUGGCGACAGGGAGCGAAUCCCCAAACCACGUCUCAGUUCGGAUCGGAGUCUGCAACCCGACUCCGUGAAGCUGGAUUCGCUAGUAAUCGCGCAUCAGCCAUGGCGCGGUGAAUACGUUCCCGGGCCUUGUACACAC